GGGCGCAGCCUGAUGCAGCCAUGCCGCGUGUGUGAAGAAGGCCUUCGGGUUGUAAAGCACUUUCAGGUCGUGAGGAAGGUAGUGCAGUUAAUAGCUGCAUUAUUUGACGUUAGCGACAGAAGAAGCACCGGCUAACUCCGUG
rnacentral:rRNA from 1 species